ensembl:miRNA
UGUGGGUGGCAGGGAGGUGGCUGUGGUGCAUUGUAGUUGCAUUGCAUGAUCCAGAACCUGAGUGCAAUGUGUCUGCAGUGCAGUACAGAGGCCUCCCCAAUCUACA